AGGUUGGCUCCUGGGUGUCCUGGUUCCUAAGCCCCCAAACGGACCCAGAGUCUCAGAGCAUGACGUCGACCCUGUUUGCCCUCCGGGGAAGGCUGGCCCCAAGUAGACAUGAUAAAGACACUGUUCAAGCCAUAUUUGGAAACUCUUCAAUUUGGGAGAGACCUUCGGAGAACCAUAGAUUAUGUGUAAUACCUUAGGCAUCUCAGAAUAUUGCUGGGCCAAGCACCACGUUUUCAAAUCUUCCAGAACUAAAAGAUGCUGCAAGCCAGGCAUGGUGGCACACAUCUGCAGUCUCAGUACUUGGGAAGUGGAAGCAUGAAGAUCAGUUCAAGACAAGCCUCAACACAUAGUACAUUUGAGUUCAGCCUAAGGUACUUGUCCAAAAAACCCCUCAAAGGUAAAAAAUAAAAACAAU